AAUAUACACCCUUUGUAUAUUUACUUGCUCCCUUCGUACAUUUGCUUGCUCUCUUUGUAAGAUGUUGGGCGAGAAAACGAAGAAAGGGAGCAAGCGAACGAAGCAAGAGAGAGAGAGGUUGAACGAAAAAAGCAUGCAAUUCAAGAGAAAGAGAUAGAGGUUGAACGAAAAGAGCAUGCAAUUCAAGAGAGAGAGAUAGAGGUUGAACGAAGAGAGUGUACAAUUAAAGAAGGGGCAAGAGCAAAUGAAAAUAGAAAAAAUGAAAGA